rnacentral:tRNA from 1 species
GCGGCUCUACCCCAACCGGCAGAGGGGCCACCUUCAGGAGGUGGACGUUCCGGGUUCGAAUCCCGGGAGCCGCACCA